UUGAGCCGUAUGAUGGGAAAUUAUCUUGUACGGUUCUUAGGGGGCGAGGAAGGCGUAAGCCUUCCAAUCUACCCGGU
rnacentral:ncRNA from 1 species